GGAGGGUCAACCUCAAGAAGUGGACGAGGCCUGCGAAUUGAAGAAAAGGACGUCCUCCCAAGUGCAUCAACUUGGAGAAAAGCAUGAGGCUCUGAGUUAGGGCGUGCUCGAGGUGGAAGAUCCCUCAAGAGAGUUGGGCAGAAAUGAUGCUUGAGUUUUGCCCCAGCUGACUUUUUUGCAAGACAAGCCUGGUGAUAAUAAUCAUCCACAUAUGGGUCAUUACUGUGCGUUGCAGCAAGCUGCAUUCUGAGAAUGCUCUCAAUUUCAUCAGAGGUCAUGUACUUGGAUCUGAACUGAGACCAAACACUGUCAAACUUCCGGCCAUUGGUAUCAAAUCCCUGUUGAGAAUAACGCAGAUUUUGAUUUGGUCUUUGAUCUCUAAUAUCACCCAGACCAAGCACUUCAAACUUGCUCAUCAUGGGUGGCGGUGAAGAAAGAUGAGGACUAAAUAGUUGAGACUGCAUGCCUGAUAAAU
rnacentral:misc_RNA from 1 species